CUUUUGGGUCUUGUAAUUGGAAUGAGUACAAUUUAAAUCCCUUAACGAGGAACAAUUGGAGGGCAAGUCUGGUGCCAGCAGCCGCGGUAAUUCCAGCUCCAAUAGCGUAUAUUAAAGUUGUUGCAGUUAAAAAGCUCGUAGUUGAACCUUGGGUCUGGCUGCUCGGUCCGCCUAACCGCGUGCACUGAUGCGGCCGGAUCUUUCCUUCUGGCUAACCUCAUGUCCUUUACUGGGUGUGUUGGGGAUCCAGGACUUUUACUUUGAAAAAAUUAGAGUGUUCAAAGCAGGCCUACGCUCGAAUACAUUAGCAUGGAAUAAUAGAAUAGGACGGCGGUUCUAUUUUGUUGGUUUCUAGAGCCACCGUAAUGAUUAAUAGGGAUAGUCGGGGGCAUCAGUAUUCAAUUGUCAGAGGUGAAAUUCUUGGAUUUAUUGAAGACUAACUACUGCGAAAGCAUUUGCCAAGGAUGUUUUCAUUAAUCAGUGAACG
rnacentral:ncRNA from 1 species